rnacentral:misc_RNA from 1 species
GAUGAAGAACGUAGCGAAAUGCGAUAAGUAAUGUGAAUUGCAGAAUUCAGUGAAUCAUCGAAUCUUUGAACGCACCUUGCGCUCCUUGGCAUUCCGAGGAGCAUGCCUGUUUGAGUGUCAUUAAAUUCUCAAGACCUGUCUGCUUUUUUGAUAGGUAUUGGAUUUUGGGGGUUGCAGGCUGUUUCAAAUAAAUAGCCUUGCUCUCCUUGAAUGUAUUAGUGGAGAAAAGCCAUUGAACUCCAUUGGUGUGAUAAAACCUAUCAAUGCCAGGAGCAAUAUCACUACUUCUCUCUGCUGUCUAACUGUGACUGUCUGUAUUAAUUAGUAUGGAUGGGGACAACUUGACCAACUUGACCUCAAAUCAGGUAGGACUACCCGCUGAACUUAAGCAUAUCAAUAAGCGGAGGGA